rnacentral:lncRNA from 1 species
GGAGUUGCAUCACAUGUUGGUCAGGGCUGCAGUCUCAUUGAACCACAGAAAGAGCUGCUUCCAAGAUUUCUUAUAUUGAUAGUGGAAUUUAUCUCCUUGUGGCACUCUCUGCUCUUAGAAGCUGCCUUUGCCAGGAGAGAACAGAUCGAAGGACCACUACAGAUCCAUGGUGCUGUCUGUGGCCCAGAGACUAUGGGAUGCUCUGUAGGAGGACAAGGGCCCUUUGGACACAGGAGACUCUCUUCGUACUGUGCAGGACCCAUUUUAUCUAAUAUCUCAACUCUGGCAGCUCAGUUCAAAUUUCCCUACUCUCCUCUCCACCACCACUCAGGAGAAGAAAGAAGACAACCAAAAGCAUUUAAAUAUAGAAGAACUCAACCCUUACAUAAGAUGUAAUCCCACCAGAACAAGUUUCACAGCUGUUGGCAAAAUGCCUGAAAUCACUGCAACAGGACUGACCAUUCAAAAAGGGAGGAAUUGCUUCCUGCAAGUGGCCAAGCUCUUUUAUGCAGCUUGUAGGUUUUCUAGAGCAAAACUUAGAUUAAAAUCCAUCAUACAUAUUUUUAGCCUGGGUGUUGGAUAUAUUUACAUAUAUUGUGUCAUUAUUUCUUCCAGGAAUACUAAAUAUAAUAAUAUGUAAGUGUUAUAGAGGCAGUGAUAGGCAAAUGAAUUGAAAUAAUCUCUAACAAGCAGCAACACUUGAGAAAUUUCCACUCAUAUUUUAUUUACACCUAGAGGUUUAAUAGUUGUCGUAUAUGGCAGAGUUUGCACAGACUUCUGCAUGGAAAGUUGCCAUUUGCUCACUGUUUUAGUCUAGCUCGAUUGUGCAUCAGUGUUGCUAUUCAGGAUGACACACAAAAGACUGAAGAAGUUUAGACUACAUUCUGUGGAGCAGUUCACCUGCAUUCCAAGGCAGUUUUGUCUGUGCUAGACUUUCACAAUUUUCCCUCAGUACCCAAAAGAUGCACCUCCAGUGUAUUUCUAUUUUCAUUUCAGCACAUAGUUACUCAUUGAGGGAACUUGCAGGCAUGCUUUUGAACAGGUCUCACAUAAUCCAAGAAAAACUGAGGAGCAACAUAUAGAAUUUUGUGUUUUGUGAAUUGAUAGUUGUGCUUUGAUCUUACUUUUGCUUUCCCUGGCCUUUUAAUGGUGAGAAGCUAGUCCUGUUUUAUCUUCUCUCAUUAAAGUUACUGAUAAACAUUCUCUUAAAAAGUCCCUAAGAAGUGAAUUGGGUUUUCUAUUCAUUUUUGACAGGUUGGAAAAGUAAAGACAGAACUUUCUUUUGUGACUUGUGCUAUAAAUAUGUUUUAAAAUCUUCUACUUACCUGUUUGACCCAAUUUUUUUUUACAGUUACC